GAUGAACGCUGGCGGCGUGCCUAAUACAUGCAAGUCGAGCGAACAGACGAGGAUCUUGCUCCUCUGACGUUAGCGGCGGACGGGUGUGUAACACGUGGAUAACCUACCUAUAAGACUGGGAUAACUUCGGGAAACCGGAGCUAAUACCGGAUAAUAUAUUGAACCGCAUGGUUCAAUAGUGAAAGACGGUUUUGCUGUCACUUAUAGAUGGAUCCGCGCCGCAUGAGCUAGUUGGUAAGUUAACGGCUUACCAAGGGAACGAUGCGUAGCCGACCUGAGAGGGUGAUAGGCCACACUGGAACUGAGACAGGGUCAAGACGCCUACGGGAGGCAGCAGUAGGGAAUCUUCCGCAACGGGCGAGAGCAUGACGGAGCAACGCCGCGUGAGUGAUGAAGGUCUUCGGAUCGUAAAACUCUGUUAUUAGGGAAGAACAAAUGUGUAAGUAAAUAUGCACGUCUUGACGGUACCUAAUCAGAAAGCAACGGCUAACUACGUG
rnacentral:rRNA from 1 species